CAUAUGUUUAUUGCGACAUGUCCCCAGUGUCUCCCAUCCCAGGCUUUUGGGGUGAAGACAAAAGGAAUCCAAAAAAUGAUUUGUAUUCAAUAUAUUAAUAUUUAUAAUCCAUAUGUAGAUUGCGACAUGUGCCCAGCGUCUCACAUCUCAGGGCUUUUGGGGUGGAGGUCCUGGGUAUGUCAGUGAGCGCUCUGUUCAUUGUUAUUAAACGUUAGUUGAUGUUGCACAAUUUCAUUAGCUUGCAAACUAUUUUUUUCUCUUCUCUAUGUGUGCAAACAAUUUAUAUGCACUUUUUUGUCUUUGCAAACAAUUUUUUGAAGAAUUUUCCAUCCCCCUUCCAUAAAAAUAAUGGUCCAUUCCUAAAUAACGCUUUUUUAUUGACUGGGAUUUCAAUAACUCGGACUGGGAUUUCUAAUAAAAAUCCAACUGGGACUGGGAUUUUGCCAAAAUUUCAGAUGGGAUUGGGACCCCCCCCCCUUCUGGACCCUCUUGCAAUGUCAAUGAUAGUUUAAUUAAUUAAAGUGCGGAAACAAGAAUGGUUGACCACAGGCGGCCCAAUCUCAGAAUGAAUGAUCAG